UCCACGGCGACGUGGAAUCUGAAGGAAGCGGGCGGCAAACCUCCGGUCUGAGGAACACGAACUUCAUACAAGGCUAUGUGCGAUUGGGUGAGUCUGCUGAACAAGGCAAAGCCCUUUCUGCCGAAGGUCGCAUGCAGUAAAUGAAGCAGAUAGGUGGAGGGAAAGAUUGCGUU
rfam:Planomicrobium glaciei strain CGMCC 1.6846 genome assembly, contig: Ga0070170_101